CUUCCAUAACGAAGCACCAGCUUGCAGUUGUCUUGGUAGCACUGGUUUCCCUGGUGACAGCGCCAAGGAGAAAGGAGCAGGCCUGGUACACUCAGGACACUGUGGUGAGUGGCAGCAGGAGGGGGGGCAGGCAGGUGGGUGCUCCGUGCCACCCUCCUCACCCCAACCAAACUCAUGUUGUUGGCUCUGGGGGGGAGGAGGGCAGACAGCUGAGCUGGUUCCUCUCCUGACAUCCUGGGCAAAGGGCUAAGACAAUCCAGCUAAGAGCCAGCAGCGGAGCCCAGGAAGCUCAUGGCCUGAGCAGAGGCUGUCUCUAGGGCCGUUGUGCACGCUCCCUGGAGAAGCGCUCUCUCCUCCCUGACGCAGGAAGGCACCAUGGUGGCUAUCUACAGUGGCCAGACGGCUACCGCGGGCGAGCAGAGCACGGACGUUAAUGAGGCCUCAAGCUCCACUCCUACAGAGGCCUGGGAGCUUCACGCAGCACUGGUCAGAAAGGUGACCCCCUCAACCAGGUCAUUCAUCUUAUAGAUAAAUAUACAUGGGGUGGGGGGGAAGGACGGACAGGUGGGGGAGCACAGAUGGCUCAGCGUGACCCAACACCAACACAGAAGAAAGGACUCAAAAGAGAAAGCGGAAAUCUCCUUCUGAUAGUAAAGACGUGAUGAACAAAAGAAGGCUUGCCGUCAAGACAAGCCAAUGAGGGGAACAGGGUCUGUGGCCGCCAGAAGACACAGAUUUUCCACCUGUCCUGGGGCAGGCCAGCAUGACUUGAGGUGCCAGAGGGAGAGAUCCGCAUAGGAGGAAAACCAGCUGGGGGCCUCUUUCUUUGAAGCUUCUGAGUACUCACUAUCAGAUUCACAUGGAAGGGUCAACCAAGCAACCGGAGGAAGACGGAGAUGUUGGGCAGAGUAAGGCUCCCAGGGAGGGAGGAAACAGGGCCGAGUGAACGCAGCUGGAGGGGAGCUUCCUGAGAACGGGGAUCGAGUCAGCAAGGUCUCCCCACCACCACCCCUUGCCAGCCCC